rnacentral:rRNA from 1 species
GAUGAACGCUGGCGGCGUGCCUAAUACAUGCAAGUCGAGCGGUAAGGUUCUCACAGUUUGCUGGCAUCUUUUUAAUAAGAUCGAGCAAAGUGUGAGAAUACACGAGCGGCGGACGGCUGAGUAACGCGUAGGAACGUACCCAAAGUGAGGGAUAAGCACCGGAAACGGUGUCUAAUACCGCAUAUGAUCUUCGGAUUAAAGACAUUUUGUCGCUUUGGGAGCGGCCUGCGUAUGAUUAGUUAGUUGUGAGGUAAUGGCUCACAAGACGACGAUCAUUAGCUGGUCUGAGAGGAUGAUCAGCCAGACUGGGACUGAGACACGGCCCAGACUCCUACGGGAGGCAGCAGUAGGGAAUUUUCCACAAUGGACGAAAGUCUGAUGGAGCAACGCCGCGUGCAGGAGG